UACGUAGGUGGCAAGCGUUGUCCGGAUUUACUGGGCGUAAAGAGCGCGCAGGCGGUCGUUCAAGUCGCGUGUGAAAGCCCCCGGCUCAACUGGGGAGGGUCACGCGAUACUGAUCGACUGGAAGGCAGGAGAGGGUAGUGGAAUUCCCGGUGUAGUGGUGAAAUGCGUAGAUAUCGGGAGGAACAUCAGUGGCGAAAGCGACUUCCUGGACCAAUACUGACGCUCAUGUGCGAAAGCGUGGGGAGCAAACAGG
rnacentral:rRNA from 1 species